UCCGUAGGGUGCGAGCGUUAAUCGGAAUUACUGGGCGUAAAGCGUGCGUAGGCGGUCCGCGAAGUCUGAUGUGAAAGCCCCGGGCUCAACCUGGGAACUGCAUUGGAAACUAACGGGCUCGAGUGUGGCAGAGGGGGGUGGAAUUCCACGUGUAGCAGUGAAAUGCGUAGAGAUGUGGAGGAACACCGAUGGCGAAGGCAGCCCCCUGGGCUAACACUGACGCUCAGGCACGAAAGCGUGGGGAGCAAACAGG
rnacentral:rRNA from 1 species